rnacentral:rRNA from 1 species
GGCUGAUAUCGGAUUAGCUAGUUGGUGAGGUAAAGGCUCACCAAGGCGACGAUCCGUAGCUGGUUUGAGAGGACGACCAGCCACACUGGAACUGAGACACGGUCCAGACUCCUACGGGAGGCAGCAGUGGGGAAUUUUGGACAAUGGGGGAAACCCUGAUCCAGCCAUUCCGCGUGUGUGAAGAAGGCCUUCGGGUUGUAAAGCACUUUUGGCGGGAAAGAAACGGCGUCGAUUAAUACUCGGCGUAACUGACGGUACCCGCAGAAUAAGCACCGGCUAACUACGUGCCAGCAGCCGCGGUAAUACGUAGGGUGCAAGCGUUAAUCGGAAUUACUGGGCGUAAAGCGUGCGCAGGCGGUUCGGAAAGAAAGAUGUGAAAUCCCAGGGCUCAACCUUGGAACUGCAUUUUUAACUACCGGACUAGAGUAUGUCAGAGGGGGGUGGAAUUCCACGUGUAGCAGUGAAAUGCGUAGAUAUGUGGAGGAACACCGAUGGCGAAGGCAACCCCCUGGGAUAAUACUGACGCUCAUGCACGAAAGCGUGGGGAGCAAACAGGAUUAGAUACCCUGGUAGUCCACGCCCUAAACGAUGUCAACUAGCUGUCGGGACCUUCG